rnacentral:rRNA from 1 species
UUUAGUUUUUGUGGGCAUUCGGUGGAUGCCUUGGUACCAAGAGCUGAUGAAGGACGUGGCGGCCUGCGAUAAUCCUUGGGGAGUUGGCGAGCGAGCGUUGAUCUGAGGGUGUCCGAAUGGGGGAACCUGGCUGGGGUUGUGCCUGGUCACUAUCAUCUGAAUUCAUAGGGUGGUAGGGGGAACGCGGGGAAGUGAAACAUCUUAGUACCCGUAGGAGAAGAUAUUUCGUCAGUAGUGGUGAGCGAAAGCGGAUGAUGGCUAAACCGUGUGCGUGUGUGACUCGGCGGGGGUUGCGUGUGCGGGGUUGUGGGGCUCUUUUUUCUCAUCUUCUGCCGGGGGUGGGGGUGUGUGCGUGUGCGUGUGGUGAACAUCUUGGGAUGGGUGACCGAAGUGCGUGAUAGUCGUGUAGCUGUGUGUGUGCGUGUGUGCCAAAGGGGUGCCCGAGUAGUGCGGGGCUCGUGGAAUCUCGUGUGAAUCUGCCAGGACCACCUGGUAAGCCUGAAUACUUUUUGGUGACCGAUAGUGCAUAGUACCGUGAGGGAAUGGUGAAAAGUACCCCGGGAGGGGAGUGAAAUAGUGCCUGAAACCGGGUGCCUGUAAGCCGUCAGAGCCUGCUUUUGUUGGGUGAUGGCGUGCCUUUUGAAGAAUGAGCCUGCGAGUCAGUGAUGCGUGGCGUGCUUAACCCGUGUGGGGGAUGCGUAGCGAAAGCGAGUCUUAAUUUUGGGCGUGUGUCGCGUGUUGUGGACCCGAAGCGGGGUGAUCUACCUAUGGUCAGGGUGAAGCUAUGGUAAGACGUGGUGGAGGCCCGUACCCACCAGGGUUGAAAACCUGGGGGAUGAACUGUGGGUAGGGGUGAAAGGCCAAUCAAACUCCGUGAUAGCUGGUUCUCCCCGAAAUGCAUUUAGGUGCAGCGUCACACUGGGCUUGGUGGAGGUAGAGCUACUGGUUGGUUGAUGGGCCGUGUUGGUUACUGACGUCAGCUAAACUCCGAAUGCCAUUUCAAGUGGGUGUGGCAGUGAGACUGCGGGGGAUAAGCUUCGUGGUCGAGAGGGAAACAGCCCAGAUCAUCGGCUAAGGCCCCUAAGCGUGCGCUGAGUGGGAAAGGAUGUGGAGUCGCGUUGACAGCCAGGAGGUUGGCUUAGAAGCAGCCAUCCUUGAAAGAGUGCGUAAUAGCUCACUGGUCGAGUGGUUGUGCGCCGAUAAUGUAGCGGGGCUUAAGCGUGCCGCCGAAGCCGUGGCAAUAACUUUUUGUUUUUGGGUAGGGGAGCGUCCUGCUCUGGGUGAAGCUGCCUGGUGAUGGGUGGUGGACGGGGUGGGAGUGAGAAUGCAGGCAUGAGUAGCGUUUCGUGGGUGAGAAUCCUACGCGCUGAUUGACUAAGGGUUCCAGGGGCAGGUUUGUCCGCCCUGGGUUAGUCGGGUCCUAAGGCGAGGCCGACAGGCGUAGUCGAUGGGUGACCAGUUGAUAUUCUGGUACCGUUUGUUUUCCGUCUAACGCUGCAUGCUUUCGCGUCGUGUGCUUGCCGUGCGUGGUGUUGUCUUUCGGGAUGAUGCUGAGUGUGGCUGUGUGUGGUGUGGGGUGUGUGGUGAGCAUUGGGGUGACGCAGGGAGGUAGUUGCUGCACACUGGUGGUUAUGUGUGUCUAAGGUUGUGGCCUGUUUCUUGGGUGAAAUCCGGGAAGCUGCGUUUGAUCGCGUGGGUGAGGGCUGAUGGGGCUGCCUGUUGGGGUGGCUAGUGGUGAUCCUGUACUGCCGAGAAAAGCCUGGAUGUGAGGAAGAUGAGCGCCCGUACCCUAAACCGACUCUGGUGGUCAGGUAGAGUAUACCGAGGCGUGCGAGUGAAUCAUGGUUAAGGAAUUCGGCAAAUUGCCCCCGUAACUUUGGGAUAAGGGGGGCCCUGCUGGUGUGCCUGCUUUUGCGUGGGUGGUGCUGGUUGGGGUCGCAGAGAAUUGGGAGAAGCGACUGUUUAUUAAAAACAUAGGUGUGUGCUAAGCCGUAAGGCGCUGUAUACGCACUGACGCCUGCCCGGUGCUGGAAGGUUAAGAGGACGACUUAACUGCUUUUUUGUGGUGAAGGUUUGAAUUUAAGCCCCAGUAAACGGCGGUGGUAACUAUAACCAUCCUAAGGUAGCGAAAUUCCUUGUCGGGUAAGUUCCGACCUGCACGAAUGGCGUAA